rnacentral:rRNA from 1 species
UAGGGAAUCUUCCGCAAUGGACGAAAGUCUGACGGAGCAACGCCGCGUGAGUGAAGAAGGAUUUCGGUUCGUAAAACUCUGUUGUUAGGGAAGAAAAAAUGUAUAGUAACUAUAUACAAAAGAGACGGUACCUAACCAGAAAGCCACGGCUAACUACGUGCCAGCAGCCGCGGUAAUACGUAGGUGGCAAGCGUUGUCCGGAAUUAUUGGGCGUAAAGCGCGCGCAGGUGGUUUAGAAAGUCUGGUGUGAAAGCCCACGGCUCAACCGUGGAGGGUCAUUGGAAACUAAUAAACUUGAGUGCAGGAGAGAAAAGUGGAAUUCCUAGUGUAGCGGUGAAAUGCGUAGAGAUUAGGAGGAACACCGGUGGCGAAAGCGGCUUUUUGGCCUGCAACUGACACUGAGGCGCGAAAGCGUGGGGAGCAAACAGG